rnacentral:rRNA from 1 species
GAUGAACGCUAGCGACAGGCUUAACACAUGCAAGUCGAGGGGCAGCAUAGAAGUAGCAAUACUUUGGUGGCGACCGGCGCACGGGUGAGUAACGCGUAUGCAACCUACCUAUCAGAGGGGAAUAACCCGGCGAAAGCCGGACUAAUACCGCAUAAAACAGGGGCACCGCAUGGUGAUAUUUGUUAAAGAAAUUCGCUGAUAGAUGGGCAUGCGUUCCAUUAGGUAGUUGGUGAGGUAACGGCUCACCAAGCCGACGAUGGAUAGGGGAACUGAGAGGUUGGUCCCCAAACUGGUACUGAGACACGGACCAGACUCCUACGGGAGGCAGCAGUGAGGAAUAUUGGUCAAUGGGCGGGAGCCUGAACCAGCCAAGUCGCGUGAAGGAAGAAGGAUCUAUGGUUCGUAAACUUCUUUUGCAGGGGAAUAAAGUGCGGGACGUGUCCUGUUUUGUAUGUACCCUGAGAAUAAGGAUCGGCUAGCUCCGUGCCAGCCGCCGCCGUAA